GUGCGUAAUAUUACUGUAAACGGCCGCCCUAGCGUGAGGGUGCUAAGGUAGCGAAAUUCCUUGCCUUUUGAUUGUAGGCCUGCAUGAAUGGUUUAACGAGGGUUUAACUGUCUCUUGAUUUAAAAUUGAAAUUGUACUGAAGGUGAAGAUACCUUCAUUAAAAAGUCAGACAAAAAGACCCCGUGCAACUUUGAAAAUUAACUUUAUUCAGAAGUGAAAGAUUUUUAGGUGGGGCGCCUAGAAAGUAAAUCUAACCUUUCUGAACAUUUAGUUCUUUCCGGACUUGACCCGAUUAUAUUCGAUCAUAGGAGAAGUUACGCCGGGGAUAACAGGCUAAUCCUUUAGUAGAGCUCGUAUUGGCUAAAGGGAUUGGCACCUCGAUGUUGAAUCAGGGAUGAUAGCUUCAAGGCGUAGAGGCUUUGAGAGUAGGUCUGUUCGACCUUUAAUACCCU
rnacentral:rRNA from 1 species